UACGAGAGGUCCAAACGUUAUUCGGAAUCACUGGGCUUACAGAGUUCGUAGGCGGUUCUACAAGUGAGGUGUGAAAGCCCUCGGCUCAACCGAGGAACUGCGCUUCAAACUGUAGAACUAGAGGGAGAUAGAGGUGAGCAGAACUGAUGGUGGAGCGGUGAAAUGCGUUGAUAUCAUCAGGAAUACCGGAGGCGAAGGCGGCUCACUGGGUCUUUUUCUGACGCUGAGGAACGAAAGCUAGGGGAGCAAACGGG
rnacentral:rRNA from 1 species